rnacentral:rRNA from 1 species
CAAUAGCGUAUAUUUAAGUUGUUGCAGUUAAAAAGCUCGUAGUUGGAUUUCGGGUAGGAUUUGCCGGUCCGUCUUUGAGAUGUGUACUGGUAAGUCCUAUCUUCUUGUCGGGGACCAGCUCCUGGGCUUCACUGUCCGGGACUGGGAGCCGACGAAGUUACUUUGAGUAAAUUAGAGUGUUCAAAGCAAGCCUACGCUCUGAAUAUAUUAGCAUGGAAUAACACGAUAGGACUCUGGCUUAUCUUGUUGGUCUGUGAGACCAGAGUAAUGAUUAAGAGGGACAGUCGGGGGCAUUCGUAUUUAAUUGUCAGAGGUGAAAUUCUUGGAUUUAUGAAAGACGAACUACUGCGAAAGCAUUUGCCAAGGAUGUUUUCAUUAA